UACAGAGGGGGGCAAGCGUUGUUCGGAAUUACUGGGCGUAAAGGGCGCGUAGGCGGCCUGUUAAGUCGAACGUGAAAUCCCCGGGCUCAACCCGGGAACUGCGUCCGAUACUGGCAGGCUUGAAUCCGGGAGAGGGAUGCAGAAUUCCAGGUGUAGCGGUGAAAUGCGUAGAUAUCUGGAGGAAUACCGGUGGCGAAGGCGGCAUCCUGGACCGACAUUGACGCUGAUGAGCGAAAGCUAGGGGAGCAAACGGG
rnacentral:rRNA from 1 species